rnacentral:rRNA from 1 species
UACGUAGGGAGCAAGCGUUGUCCGGAAUCAUUGGGCGUAAAGCGCGCGUAGGUGGCCAUGUAAGUCCGCUGUGAAAGUCAAAGGCUCAACCUUUGAAAGCCGGUGGAUACUGCAUGGCUAGAGUACGGAAGAGGCGAGUGGAAUUCCUGGUGUAGCGGUGGAAUGCGCAGAUAUCAGGAGGAACACCAAUAGCGAAGGCAGCUCGCUGGGACGUUACUGACACUGAGGCGCGAAAGCGUGGGGAGCAAACAGG